rnacentral:lncRNA from 1 species
CGCUCGCUCCGCGCUCGCCGCCCUGUAACUUCUGUUCUGGGAAGUGGUGCCAGGAAUAGCCCAGCGGAGCCGCCUGCAGCGCGGAGCGCUCCCUCCCGCCGCGGCCAGGGCGGGCUGCGGCUCCCGGGCCUCCGCCUCUUCCCCGUGCAACACCAGCCCCUCCGCCACUGUCAAGAGAGAUGGUGAUGAGCCUUUCCAAAAAGAGGGAGAGGAAUGACCUGCCUUAAGAUAAACGCGUGAAGCGGGCGCCCCUUGGCCGUUGGAAUAUUUCUUGUCUGUCUUUAUAUAUAAAGAAGCACCGCCAGCCGCCUCACUCCGGGCGAGCCCUCAGCAAAGGAGCAACACGAGCGCCCGGCGGGAUCAGCAGCAGCAGCAACAACAACAACAAGGGCACCGGGAGGGCUUCCCUCCUUCCUCCUCGGUGACUUCCCAGGCUUGGAAGAGAGGUGAGAAAAUAAUAGAGAAGGAAAUGAAAGUGAAUCAGGUCCUCCACAUUUUUCUUUUGGAGCAAGGACAAGAUCACCCUCUGCAUGGCAGGAAAGAGAAAGACACAUGGGAUGAUGGAGUUCCUUUACGUACACCUCUCCAAAACUUCAGUGCAGCAUAUUUUCCACAAAUGGAGUGACUAUGAGAGAAACCUUUUAAUUUUCUUUCUCUUUCUCACUCACAAUUUUGCUAAGUAAAGAAGAAAAUGUGGAUGUUAAAUACACAAUUUUGGAUAUAUGCUGGUUGAGGAUGAGGCUUAGAGGGGAAGAUGAAUAAGAUGGGGAGAGGAGGUUUGGAUGUGACUGACAGUGGAUGCCUACAGGAAGUUAUUUUUAUCAGAUCAGGUUUCCCUUUAACACUGUCUUCAACCUAAAGAAUUUUGGUAUAAGAGCUUUUAAAAUCCCUGCCCAGUUGCAAGUCGUACAAGCAUGUGUUGAUGAGAACUGAGGUCCUACAGAAGGCACCAUUUAGGAUACAGUGAUAGCAUCCUCUAGCUUUCAUUGUUUGACAUCUCCGCAGAUAGCUUACACACAGAAUACAAUGCACGCUUUUGAUUUAAUUUAUUUGCAGUAUCAUUUGAUCCCGGUCAAUAGUUCGACCCACUUAAAUAGCAAGCAGGGGAAAAAAUGAAACCAGUUUUGACUAAGUCUUUCUCAGUCAAGUGGGUUGUCUGGCGAGCCAAGAGUGUAAUAAAUAGAUUUGGUGGCUAUUUACA